rfam:Hordeum vulgare subsp. vulgare, WGS project CAJW01000000 data, contig: morex_contig_7648
UAUAUACUCCAUCCGUCCGAAAAUACUUGUUCUAGAAAUGGAUAUAAUGAAUGUAUCUAUAACUAAAAUAAGUCUAGAUAUACAUUUAUCUCUAGGAUAAGUAUUUUCGGACGAAGGAAGUAUAAU